rnacentral:rRNA from 1 species
UACGAAGGGGGCUAGCGUUGCUCGGAAUCACUGGGCGUAAAGGGUGCGUAGGCGGGUCUUUAAGUCAGGGGUGAAAUCCUGGAGCUCAACUCCAGAACUGCCUUUGAUACUGGCGACCUUGAGUCCGGGAGAGGUGAGUGGAACUCCGAGUGUAGAGGUGAAAUUCGUAGAUAUUCGGAAGAACACCAGUGGCGAAGGCGGCUCACUGGCCCGGUACUGACGCUGAGGUGCGAAAGCGUGGGGAGCAAACAGG